CGCCCCGCGGACGCCGCGCCGACCUCUCCUGCCGCGCGGACUGGCGCGGGACUAACGGUGAGCGCCCGCGCGGCCCGUCGCCCGUUUGUCUGUCCGGUUGCGGACCCUUAAGAUGUUUCCAUCGGAAAUGUUGUUUCUGAUUUCUGCUUUGUGAAACUUGGGCACUUACAAUAAUCGCAGCGCUCUGUGCAAUAUUUACUAUCUCCUCCAAACCUUACUUUUUUUUUUGAGGCGAGGUCUCGCGGAACCCGCGAAGUUGCCCGGGUUGGGCUCAAACUUGAGAUCGCGGUCUCAGCCUCCCGAGAGCGGGGGUCCCGGACGUGCACCCCCGCGCCGGGCUUCUGCUACGUGCCCUGCUCGCGUCGCUGCGUUCCUGACGCUGAACCCGGGGCCUGGAACUUGAGAUAACAACUUGUCCAGCAACACAGCCAGCAAAGGAUGAAGCUAGAACUUGUCAGACUUCUCUGAUGUCCAAGUCCACGCUCUCCAAGGAAGGUACGGAGAAGAAGGCCUUUGCCAGACCAAUAGCUGCACACCAAACACCAGGAGAUGUGUUAAUCUGCUCAAACAAGGAACCCACAGCCGGUACUGCAGCUGCAAUCAGAGUCACCACUUGGUUCAGCUUACGGGAACACCGCGGCUGAUCAGCCUGCGUGUGGCAGAUUACUCUGGUCAUUGUUCUGCGUCUGCUGUCCAUUGUGGUGUUAGCGAAGGGUUAUUCCACUGUGGAAGAUGAGGUUUAACGUGACAGAUCCGCUCCAGCAUUCCCGUUUCCCUGAGCCUCUGAGUCCCCUCCUCAACGAGCCACUCCUGGUACCCAAAUGUGUAUCAGUGUUUCACAGGAGAAACGGAUAUAACACAAGAAAUAGAAAUGUGUAAGAAGCUACAGGAUUGGCUUACGAUGGUCGCCCACAGAGUCGGAUAAGAAGCGUGCAGAGGGUGUCUGCGUACUGGAGACCGACGGUGUCAGUCCGAGGCCUGGAGCUCACCACGUUGUCCCCCGCAAGUCCGAAUCAGGAGGCCGAUGGGUCUGUGAGGGAAAGCUGAACAGCCUGCCCUGGAAGCCAGGAGCUGAGGUCCGAGCUGAAGGCAAAGGCUGGAGCUCCUCUGAAGAACACAAGCAGCUCCCUCUUCCUCACUUCCCCUUUAUACCACCCGGGUGAGGAGCCUCGGGGGAAGCGUGGUUGAGCUGAUUUAGUUAAGCUGCUUUCUAAGCUGCUCAAGUUGACACAGUUGAUCGUCACCACACUUCCAGUCUCCUGCCCUGCGGCCCCCUGUCCUUCUCCCCCAGGCAACCGAGUGAGCUAGAAAGCCUCUUCCCCCAGGUGAGUCACAGAACCAGAGCUCUUUUCUCCCCACGCCAGUCAUAAACCCUGAGGCUGUUACUCCAGCUUCCCCUGCCUGUCUGUGUGGAAACUGGCCAUGAAGACAUUCCUGCCUCAUACUCAUAAGAAGACAUGCUGUAACUGAGGGGCCAGAAACGCUGGGUUUCCCACGCCAUCUACCUCCAUUCACUCACACCCUCUUUUAUCCAAUCACAUUUGCACAGGGCAACCCAGGCUUCAUCAAACCUAAGCAUGACGUGGGUCCUUCACACUGGGUCUCUGCGUCUUCAACCUGGAGUUCUGUGGUCAUGUCAAACUAUGCUAGAAUAAAUAUGUUCUGUUAA